rnacentral:rRNA from 1 species
UACGAAGGGGGCUAGCGUUGCUCGGAUUGACUGGGCGUAAAGGGCUCGUAGGUGGCCAACUAAGUCAGACGUGAAAUCCCUCGGCUUAACCGGGGAACUGCGUCUGAUACUGGAUGGCUUGAGUUCGGGAGAGGGAUGCGGAAUUCCAGGUGUAGCGGUGAAAUGCGUAGAUAUCUGGAGGAACACCGGUGGCGAAGGCGGCAUCCUGGACCGACACUGACACUGAGGAGCGAAAGCCAGGGGAGCAAACGGG